rnacentral:rRNA from 1 species
GGAUUGAACGCUGGCGGAAUGCUUUACACAUGCAAGUCGAACGGCAGCACGGGGGCAACCCUGGUGGCGAGUGGCGAACGGGUGAGUAAUACAUCGGAACGUGCCCAGUCGUGGGGGAUAACUACGCGAAAGCGUAGCUAAUACCGCAUACGAUCUACGGAUGAAAGCGGGGGAUCGCAAGACCUCGCGCGAUUGGAGCGGCCGAUGGCAGAUUAGGUAGUUGGUGGGGUAAAGGCUCACCAAGCCGUCGAUCUGUAGCUGGUCUGAGAGGACGACCAGCCACACUGGGACUGAGACACGGCCCAGACCUCCUACGGGAGGCAGCAGUGGGGAAUUUUGGGACAAGUGGGCGCAAGCCUGAUCCAGCCAUUCCGCGUG